ACUUGAUAUAUAAUUAAAGGGCCGCGGUAAUUUGMCCGUGCGAASGUAGCAUAAUCAUUAGUCUUUUAAUUGGAGGCUUGAAUGAAAGGUUGGAUGAGGAACUAGCUGUCUUUUUUUAUUUAAAGAAUUUAACUUUUAAGUGAAAAGGCUUAAAUAUACUAGUGGGACGAUAAGACCCUAUAAAACUUAAUAUAAAUUGAAGAGAAUUUAAGGAUUUAGUUUAAUUUAAUUUUUUUUAGUUUAUAUUUUGUUGGGGAGACGAUGAUAUAAUUUUAACUGUCUUUUUUAUAUAAUAGUAAUAAUUAGAUUUUGAUCCUUUAUUAAAGAUUUUAAGAUAAGUUACUUUAGGGAUAACAGCGUAAUUUUCUUUGAGAGUUCUUAUCGACAAGAGUAGUUGCGACCUCGAUGUUGAAUUAAAGUUUCUGGUACGGUGUAGCCGCUUGCCUCGUGGGUCUGUUCGACCUAUAAUKCUWUACAUGAUUUGAGUUCAGACCGGCGCCAG
rnacentral:rRNA from 1 species